GUCCACGCUGUGGUGUCCACACCACGGUGUCCACAUGGAGAUCGGAGGACAACUUGCGGAACUUGCUUCUUUCUCCCACUCGAGCAUCCUUGGGGAGGCCUGUUGUCAAAACCCAGGGAAGCUGUCCCAUCAUGCACAGUUCAACGUGUACUGACGAUAACAUGUACCACGGCGCGGAACGAACAAAUGUUCAUCUCUUCCACAUUUGUUCUUGAGUGUUCUUUUAGGAGAGGAAACUUGGAGUGAAUUGGCCCCGUUCCCAGGCCUCACGUCGACUAAGGAAAAACAAUUGCUAUAGAUGCCACCCCCCACCUCUGGGCUGGAUAUGACCACAGCCAUCUUGAAGCAGAGGAGCUGUGCUCAGUGAUGGAGCCCGUCACUCUCAUACCUACUGGCGUUCCCUCACGGAGGGAGGGGAGAAACUCGGAGAUGCCCAGGUGGAGAACGAUUGCAAAAGAGCAGUAUCAACGCUGGUCCCCACAUGCGCAUGUGCACACGUGCACAAGCGCAUGGACAGGCAAACCCUCACAUAAAGAAGGAAGCUGGGGUUAGGGAGGAGGGAAGGUGGCUUUCCUCUUCUUCUCUCUUGAGGUUUGUAUUUACCUCUUUGAAUUGCCAAUCUCCUGCAUCAGCUCUGCAUCCUGAAGUCGAAGGCUGCACGGCACACCCCACACCCCACCCAAGGAGCUUCGGUUCAGAUGCGGCAGGGGCAUGAUCUUCUGCUUCAACAUCAUCUCUCAAAGUUCUGGCUCAGUUCCAAAACAGGUUUUCUUCCUUGAACUUCCGAAUUUGCCUCCACGAUUGAGCCCGUUCCGGUUGCUACUGUCCCCUGUUAAAUAAUGAAAUUGCACUUUGUGCAGGGAAUUCCCGAGCAUGGGAACCAUGCCUUGGGAUGCAGACCCCCAUGUUCCAUGCUCAUCACGACAACAUGCUUCUCCUGCCUCUCUCAGAAGUGGCCCUCGUCAGAGCAACACACUGUGGGCCAUAGCUACCUUCCUCUGGGUUGGUGUUUAAAUUGCAUGACGGGUCGCUGAGGAUGAGAGGUGACAUGUCCCUCUCCAGUUUGUGACAGAGAAACAUAUGGCUCAAGGGGUAGCUGACUCCACCUGUGUUUUCAGUUCUGCAUACAUGUGGCCCCUGUCACGGCCACCAUGUAAGUCUACAGUAACUAGACAGGCCUAGAACUUGCAAUUCUCCUGCCGUUGAGCUCCCAGGUAGCUGGGGUUACAGGCCUGAGGCAUGCCCUCUGUAGCUUUACUGGGUCUCCAGUAAAAACUCAUCCACACAACCAGCCUCGGCUGGAUUCAGCCUGAGAGCAAGUGAGCUCAGGUAUGGCUCAUCUGCCCUCAAACCCUUGUGUGAACCUUGCUUCAGCUUCCAGGGCCUUCAGACAACAAAGAUGCUCUGAAGCAGGUCUGGAGGAAGGGAGGAGCCAAGGGAGGAGCCAAGUCGCCUCAGUAUCCAUCAGCUCUGUAGCUCCAUCAGUAACAUGACCCUGAUGGAAAGGGAGCUGUAAUCCCCGAGCAUUGGAAAGCUGAGGCAGGAGGACUGCAGAUUGUAGACCUGUCUAAGCUACAGGGUUGAAGUCAAGGCCAGUUUGGAUAACCUAC